GAGAUGAGGGCAAGCCGUGUAAGGAAGACAUAUCAGUAAAAUUAAGAAAGGCAUUAUCCUUAAAAAGAUCACUGAAACAUUUAAUGCCCUUCUUACCCCAUAGAUGAAAUGCGGCGUCUAAGAAGGAGGGAGGAAAGACAUGAUUAUUAUAAAAUGGGCAAAGAGCAGAAGCUGAGACACAUCUGAAGUGAAGUCAAAAUUGAUACCAUAUUUUAAGAGAGGCAAGUACAAGAGGAUUAUCUGUGUACCGAGACAGGGACACAGGGAGAGAUGAAAAGAAUAAGGCGGGGAGAGAGGUAGACAAACACAACUGAGAUUUCCACACCAAA